CCAAGGCGACGACGGGUAGCCGGCCUGAGAGGGUGUCCGGCCACACUGGGACUGAGAUACGGCCCAGACUCNUACGGGAGGCAGCAGUGGGGAAUAUUGCACAAUGGGCGCAAGCCUGAUGCAGCGACGCCGCGUUGGGGAUGACGGCCUUCGGGUUGUAAACCUCUUUCAGCAGGGACGAAGCGCAAGUGACGGUACCUGCAGAAGAAGCACCGGCCAACUACGUGCCAGCAGCCGCGGUAAUACGUAGGGUGCGAGCGUUGUCCGGAAUUACUGGGCGUAAAGAGCUCGUAGGUGGUUUGUCGCGUUGUUCGUGAAAUCUCACGGCUUAACUGUGAGCGUGCGGGCGAUACGGGCGGACUGGAGUACUGCAGGGGAGACUGGAAUUCCUGGUGUAGCGGUGGAAUGCGCAGAUAUCAGGAGGAACACCGGUGGCGAAGGCGGGUCUCUGGGCAGUAACUGACGCUGAGGAGCGAAAGCGUGGGGAGCGAACAGGAUUAGAUACCCUGGUAAUCCACGCCGUAAACGGUGGGUACUAUGUGUGGGUUUCCUU
rnacentral:rRNA from 1 species